UGACAGGACUCAACAGGUUGUUGCUUGUGUUCCCAGAUAGACGCUGACAUACUCGCACACAUUGUAACACACCCACUGACGUCAACACAAACAUUGUACAUCUCAUUGAUGACACAGUACAACAAGUUGUUGGUGGACACAGCACCUUUUGGAAAAACUGACCACAAGAAAGUAUAUGUCUCCAAACCUCUCGAAUGACCAGCCAAGAGCGUCAAUUUCCCCACAUUUUCUUCGCUCACUUGAAGUGUGUUCAAGAGGGCAGACAACAUAACGAAAAGAAAAGUGAAACGUAAUCUCAGGGAUGGACAAGCACUGCAAAAUGGCUCUGGACACAUAGUAGCAGUGGGCGGCUAUAGUUGACAAAGGUCAGCGCCAUGGUCAAAAUCAAUUGUAGGAAUCCUAAUCAGUCCCUCCAGGAUUACGCGGGACAAUGAAUGAAUGAAACUGGAAUAACU